rnacentral:lncRNA from 1 species
GGAGGAGCUGUGGUUGUCACCCUCUACAGGAUGGGUUUUCCCGAAGCUGCCAGCUCCUUCAGGACGCACCAGGUUUCAGCUGCUCCCACCAGCUCUGCAGGGGAUGGAUUCAAGGCAAACCUCGUCUUUAAGGAGAUUGAGAAGAAGCUUGAAGAGGAAGGGGAACAGUUCGUGAAGAAAAUCGGUGGCAUUUUUGCCUUCAAAGUGAAAGAUGGCCCUGGCGGCAAAGAAGCUACCUGGGUGGUGGAUGUGAAGAAUGGCAAAGGAUCUGUGCUUCCCAAUUCAGAUAAGAAGGCUGACUGCACAAUCACCAUGGCCGACUCAGACUUGCUGGCUUUGAUGACUGGAAAAAUGAACCCUCAGUCGGCCUUCUUUCAAGGGAAACUGAAGAUUGCUGGUAACAUGGGACUGGCCAUGAAACUACAGAACCUUCAGCUUCAGCCGGGCAAAGCUAAGCUGUGAGGAGUCCCUUUGGCAACCUCAGGACAUCAAGAUGAGAUGUGUAGAUAGGUAGAGAUCCACGUCUCGUCGUCAGGACUUAGACUGACACCUCCCGAAUAGCAUGAGAUAGAUUUGUUGCUAAUUGGGUGCGGUCAAUUGUGUUUCCCCGAAGCUGGGAGGUACAUAGGGCCUCCCUGCCUGCACUGCUGCUUUGAGGACUUGCAUUCUACUGUGCUUGAUGAAGCUACUAUGUCAAUGAUGGUUUGGGGUAAACUUGAGUUUCAGAAUAAAAUUCAGAACAGUAAAAUCUGAAGACUGAGUAAACAAAGCCCUUGUUUUGCUUAGAAGUAUAUUUGAGGAUCACUGUGUUGGACACUCGGUGUGACAUUUCUCCUUGGGGGGACUAGAGAAGAAACAGAUUUCCAUAGUUGACCAGGAAUUAGUGCCUCACACUCAAUUACCUGCAUCAGUUUCUCACUAAUAGUUCUUAAAAUAAAAUUCUGUACUAAAAGUUUAAAAAAAAACUUUAAAAAUGUUCAUUUCAUGCCAUCAGAAACAGUUCUUUUCUUCCCAAAUAAAAUACAAGAAUUAUGGUCAGAGCUUAAGAGAGAAUUUACAGCUGAACAGAACUGUUUUAAAAUAUUUUUCAAAUGGGCAUCUUUUUAAAAAUCAUAGUAUCAGAGCCAUGGAUACCAUUAAUAAAAAUAACUGAAUAAAGUUUCUUCCAGAGAUACGGGCUUCAAAUUAUAGUUUCAUAUUAAUAAGUGUAUAAACUGAGUCUCACAAAUUUCCUUUUUCAUACACUUGAUUGUCUGCAUUUAUCUUUCUUCCAAGUUUUUCUAAUUCUAAUGCUAUUUGUUAUAAUUUAGGUUUGGGAUAAAAAUAUGCUUUUGGAAGAUUUAAAAAGAAAAUUAAAACAGCUCUUCCUG